GGCGUCUCGUGGAAUCUAAACCAUCAAACAGGAAAUGAGCAUUUAGGUCUUUGAAAAAUUUGUCUGUUGAAGGCCCAAAGCUUAGUGCAAUCGUGUUUGGAGAUCAUUCAAGAUGACCACAUCUGAACUCCCACAGAGAGGACCAAAGAGUGAGCAGUGACAUCAUCUACCACAGUGCAUGAGCCAACCUGCCGGGGUCUCCAUCUCCAUCUCAUCAUUUGCCACAGUGCAUGAGCCAACCUGCCGGGGUCUCCAUCUCCACCUCAUCAUCUGCCACAGUGCAUGAGCCAACCUGCCGGGGUCUCCAUCUCCACCUCAUCAUCUGCCACAGUGCAUGAGCCAACCUGCCGGGGUCUCCAUCUCCACCUCAUCAUCUUUUAGAUGGUAACAACGAUGUGUGUGUUGAAGACUGAGGUGAGGCUUCUAAAUCAUAGAUUCUCUUGGCAGAUAGAUGGCUGGGGAGAUGGCUCGGUGUGUAA
rnacentral:lncRNA from 1 species